rnacentral:rRNA from 1 species
GACGAACGCUGGCGGCGUGCUUAACACAUGCAAGUCGAACGGAAAGGCCCUGCUUUUGUGGGGUGCUCGAGUGGCGAACGGGUGAGUAACACGUGAGUAACCUGCCCUUGACUUUGGGAUAACUUCAGGAAACUGGGGCUAAUACCGGAUAGGAGCUCCUGCUGCAUGGUGGGGGUUGGAAAGUUUCGGCGGUUGGGGAUGGACUCGCGGCUUAUCAGCUUGUUGGUGGGGUAGUGGCUUACCAAGGCUUUGACGGGUAGCCGGCCUGAGAGGGUGACCGGGCACCUGGGGACUAUGGUACGGACCAGGCUCCAACGUGAGGCAGCAGUGGGGAGUGGGGCACAAGGGGCGGGAGCCUGCUGCAGCCGCGCCGCGUUCGGGAAGACGGCCUUCGGGUUGUAAACCGCUUUCGCCUGUGACGAAGCGUGAGUGACGGUAAUGGGUAAAGAAGCACCGGCUAACUACGUG